CUCCCGUCUCCUAGGCGUGUGUU
rnacentral:miRNA from 1 species